GUGCUCAUUUAGGUAGCACACAUAAUAAAAUUGGAAGGAUAUAGAAACAAUUAGCAUGGCCCCUGUACAAAGAUGACACGCAAAUUCGUGAAGCAUUCCAUAUUUUU